CAGCUUAACUGUAGAACUGCCAUUGAUACUGGUAUUCUUGAAUGUAGUUGAGGUGGACGGAAUGUGUAAUGUACCGGUGAAAUGCUUAGAUAUUACACAGGACACCAAUUGCGAAGGCAGCUCACUAAACUAUGAUUGACGCUGAGGCACGAAAGCGUGGGUAGCAAACAGGAUUAGAUACCCUGGUAGUCCACGCCGUAAACUAUGAUCACUCGCUGUUGGCAAUACAUCGUCAGCGGCUGAGCGAAAGCAUUAAGUGAUCCACCUGGGGAGUACGGUCGCAAGAUUGAAACUCAAAGGAAUUGACGGGGGCCCGCACAAGCGGAGGAACAUGUGGUUUAAUUCGAUGAUACGCGAGGAACCUUACCUGGGCUUAAAUGCAGAGCGACGUUCCGGGAAACCGGAAUUCCUUCGGGCGAUCUGCAAGGUGCUGCAUGGCUGUCGUCAGCUCGUGCCGUGAGGUGUCGGGUUAAGUCCCAUAACGAGCGCAACCCUUAUCGUUAGUUGCCAGCGGGUAAUGCCGGGGACUCUAACGAAACUGCCGGUGUAAACCGUGAGGAAGGUGGGGAUGACGUCAAGUCAGCACGGCCCUUAUGUCCAGGGCUACACACGUGUUACAAUGGUCGGUACAGAGGGCAGCUACCUGGCAACAGGAUGCUAAUCUCGAAAACCGGUCUCAGUUCGGAUUGGAGUCUGCAACUCGACUUCAUGAAGCUGGAUUCGCUAGUAAUCGCGCAUCAGCCAUGGCGCGGUGAAUACGUUCCCGGGCCUUGUACACACCGCCCGUCAAGCCAUGGAAGCUUGGAGUACCUGAAGUCCGUAACCGCAAGGAGCGGCCUAGGGUAAGACAAGUGACUGGGGCUAAGUCGUAACAAG
rnacentral:rRNA from 1 species